rnacentral:lncRNA from 13 species
GAUGGAAAUGAAGGAAAUUUGUUUUGGUUGAAGUUGACCUGAACAGUAUAAAACAAUCAAAAUGGAGAAAGCACCAUUGAAAUCACUUAGAAUGUAUGUCUUGCCACUGUAGGGUCACUCACUGCUAGUUAGAAAUGGUAUUAUUCAAAAACAUAAAACACCAUUAAAAAAUGAAAUAAAUGCAGUGAUACAUUUUGGCCAUAUCGCCCAGCCCUAGUAGUUAGUGUCAGUAAUUACUAGUGUCAGUAGUUAGUUAUGGUGAGACAAAACCCUGUCUCUCUGUGCUUGUGUCAGUAGUUACUGUCAGUAGCUAGUUAGGGUUGUGUCUCACCCUGUCUCUCUGAGCCUAUGUCAGUAGUUAGUUAGGGAUGGGUCUUACUCUAACUACUGACACAGACUCAGAGAGACAGUGGGACCCAACCCUAACUAACUACUGACACUAACUACUACUGACACUAACUACUGUAACAGGCUCAGAGAGACAGGGUUUGGUCUCACUGGCUCUCUGAGACCCAACCCUAACGAACUACUGACAGGCUCAGAGAGACAGGGUGAGACCCAACCCUAACGAACUACUGACAGGCUCAGAGAGACAGUGAGACCCAACCCUAACUAACUACUGACAGGCUCAGAGAGACAGUGAGACCCAACCCUAACUAACAACUGACAGGCUCAGAGAGACAGUGAGACCCAACCCUAACAAACUACUGACAGGCUCAGAGAGACAGUGAGACCCAACCCUAACGAACUACUGACAGGCUCAGAGAGACAGGGUGAGACCCAACCCUAACGAACUACUGACAGGCUCAGAGAGACAGUGAGACCCAACCCUAACUAAGUACUGACAGGCUCAGAGAAACAGGGUGAGACCCAACUCUGUCUCUCUGAGCCUGUGUCAGUAGUAGUUAGUAGUGUCAGGAGUAGUUAGUAGUGUCAGUAGUAGUUAGUAGUGUCAGUAGUAGUUAGUAGUGUCAGGAGUAGUUAGUA